UACGGAGGGUGCAAGCGUUAUCCGGAUUCACUGGGUUUAAAGGGUGCGUAGGCGGGCAGGUAAGUCAGUGGUGAAAUCUCCGGGCUUAACUCGGAAACUGCCAUUGAUACUAUCUGUCUUGAAUACCGUGGAGGUCAGCGGAAUAUGUCAUGUAGCGGUGAAAUGCUUAGAUAUGACAUAGAACACCAAUUGCGAAGGCAGCUGGCUACACGAAUAUUGACACUGAUGCACGAAAGCGUGGGGAGCAAACAGG
rnacentral:rRNA from 1 species